CACCACACCCAGCCUAUUUUUAUAAAUGGAACACAGAACACAUGGGCUCUCAAACUAUUAUGCGUGUCAGAAUCACCUGGAAGGCUUGUUAAAACACUGGUCACUGGGCUCUGCUUCUCAGACUUUGAUUCAUUAAGUCUGGAAUGGGCGUUGAGAAUUUGCUUUUCUAGAGAGUGCCCAGGUCAAUUAUGCUUGAAUCUGAAAGAAACAGUGUUCAGUACGAACAUUUGCAAAUGAGCACAAUGAAGUCUAGAAGGUUCAAAGUGAUUUCUUCAAGGCCACAUGUCGUACAAGAAUGAAGAUGAAAAUCCAGAUUCCCUGACUCCUGGUCCAACACUGUCUCCAAAGGAACAUCAAGUCUUUUUUCUCCCUCCCAUAUAGCUUGGAUUUUUAAAAAAUCAUAAAAAUAACUUUUAUUGCUCCA